UCACUAUUACUCAUGUCAUUCAAACUUGGAUGAGAAAUCCAGAAACAAUAACAUUAUUAUUUUUUUGUACCCUUGGUGAUCUAUUCAUUUUAUUCAGCCAGAGUAGCACAUUCACUGCAACAACACACACUACAUCAUGCUGAUAUAUGGCUCCACUGGCAAAUCCAGCCGUGUUUUAAUAUAAACUAAACAAGAUGGGAUGUGGAAUAUUAGCCCUGUGGAUCGUAAUCGAGAGUGCUUUGAUGUAGAACUAAAAAUAUGUCUUUUAUUUAUUGCUAGCAUUAAAAGUGGCGGAGCAUGAGCAGUGUUUCUUUUUACUUCUUAAUGUGUCUGUUUGGGUUCGGGACGCCGUCUGUCCGUGUCGCCAUUUUGGCCCGAGAUGAAGAGAAGAUUGUUUUUCAUAUUUGAAAUGUGGCAUGACGUCGGCCACAGCACCAAACGCUUGACAUCCAGCAGACGGGAAAUGUCCUCCAAACUGAUCAUCGGGGAGAUAAAUCUACAGCAUGGUGUGCUUUAAACUUCAAAACACAAGCAAGGGUCAUCUUGGAUAUUUUUGUUUUCUUAUAAAGUACAGAAAAAUGAACUUCAGACUUGGAAGGUUUCAUUCCUUGUUACUGCACAAGUGAAGUGAUAAAUCGAUGCCCGUACCCCAGUCCCUCCAGAAUUUCACGAAAUCAAGCGAAGUCUGCAAUUUUCGGAGGAGCUCGCGAAUUUACCGCCGAUCUUCCGCAGAUUCGGGCCAAGACACAUCGUGUGACAUCAUCACAGUCUUCGAUUUACACGCGUCGAACUGAAACUGUACAGCUUGCCAUGCUACAGAGAAACCUCUAAGUGCAAAUUCCUCUGUCCUGAAGGCUGUCCCC
ensembl:lncRNA